rnacentral:rRNA from 1 species
GACGAACGCUGGCGGCGUGCUUAACACAUGCAAGUCGAACGGAAAGGCGCUGCUUUUGUGGGGUGCUCGAGUGGCGAACGGGUGAGUAACACGCGAGUAAACUGCCCUUGACUUAGGGGUAAAUUUUGGAAAAUGGGGCUAAUACCGGGUAGGAGAUAUUGAUGCAUGGUGGGGGUUGGAAAGAUUCGGCGGUUGGGUAUGGUCUCGCGGCUUAUCCGCUUGUUGGUGGGGUUGGUGCGUUCGAAGGCUUUGACGGGUAGCCGGCCUGAGAGGGGGACCGGCCACAUUGGGACUGAGAUACGGCCCAGACUCCUACGGGAGGCAGCAGUGGGGAAUAUUGCACAAUGGGCGGAAGCCUGAUGCAGCAACGCCGCGUGCGGGAUGACGGCCUUCGGGUUAUAAACCGCUUUCUCCGGUAACGAAGCGUGAGUGACGGUAAUGGGUAAAGAAGCACCGGCUAACUACGUG